rnacentral:rRNA from 1 species
GAUGAACGCUGGCGGCUUGCCUAAUAUAUGCAAGUCGAGCUACCGCACGCGAAUCUUGCUUCUCUUAUGUUAGCUGCGGACGGGUGAGUAACACGUGAUUAACCUACCUAUAAGACUGGGAUAACUUCGGGCAACCGGAGCUCUUACCUGAUCAUCUUUUGAACCCCAUGGUUCAAAAGUGAAAGACUGUCUUGCUCUCACUUAUAUAUGGAUCCGCUCUGCAUUAGCUAGUUGGUAAGGUAACGGUGUACCAAGGCAACGAUGCAUAGCCGACCUGAGAGGGUGCGCGGCCAGGCCCGAAAUGAGACACGGUCCAGACGACUCCGGGAGGCAGCAGUAGGGAAUCUCCCGCAACUGGCGAAAGCGUGACGGACCAAAGCCGCGUGGGGGAUGAAGGGCGGCGGAUCGUAAAACACUGUUAAUGGGGAAGAACAUAUGUGGAAGUAACUGUGCACAGUGUGACGGUAUGUAACCAGAAAGGCACGGCUAAGUAUGUG